AGAGUUUGAUCCUGGCUCAGAGCGAACGCUGGCGGCAGGCCUAACACAUGCAAGUCGAACGGUCUCUUCGGAGGCAGUGGCGGACGGGUGAGUAACGCGUGGGAACGUGCCCUUUGGUUCGGAACAACACAGGGAAACUUGUGCUAAUACCGGAUGUGCCCUUCGGGGGAAAGAUUUAUCGCCAUUGGAGCGGCCCGCGUUGGAUUAGGUAGUUGGUGGGGUAAAGGCCUACCAAGCCUACGAUCCAUAGCUGGUCUGAGAGGAUGAUCAGCCACACUGGGACUGAGACACGGCCCAGACUCCUACGGGAGGCAGCAGUGGGGAAUCUUGCGCAAUGGGCGAAAGCCUGACGCAGCCAUGCCGCGUGUAUGAUGAAGGUCUUAGGAUUGUAAAAUACUUUCACCGGGGAAGAUAAUGACGGUACCCGGAGAAGAAGCCCCGGCUAACUUCGUGCCAGCAGCCGCGGUAAUACGAAGGGGGCUAGCGUUGCUCGGAAUUACUGGGCGUAAAGGGCGCGUAGGCGGACAGUUUAGUCAGAGGUGAAAGCCCAGGGCUCAACCUUGGAAUUGCCUUUGAUACUGGCUGUCUUGAGUUCGGGAGAGGUGAGUGGAAUGCCGAGUGUAGAGGUGAAAUUCGUAGAUAUUCGGCGGAACACCAGUGGCGAAGGCGACUCACUGGCCCGAUACUGACGCUGAGGCGCGAAAGCGUGGGGAGCAAACAGGAUUAGAUACCCUGGUAGUCC
rnacentral:rRNA from 1 species